CGGGUAUAGUUUAGUGGUAUAACAAUUGCUUUCCAAACAUUUAGUGUUGGUUCGAUUCUCAUUACUUG
rnacentral:tRNA from 1 species